CCUACGGGAGGCAGCAGUGAGGAAUAUUGGUCAAUGGGCGCGAGCCUGAACCAGCCAAGUAGCGUGAAGGAUGACUGUCCUACGGGUUGUAAACUUCUUUUAUAAAGGAAUAAAGUGAGGCACGUGUGCCUUUUUGUAUGUACUUUAUGAAUAAGGAUCGGCUAACUCCGUGCCAGCAGCCGCGGUAAUACGGAGGAUGCGAGCGUUAUCCGGAUUUAUUGGGUUUAAAGGGUGCGCAGGCGGAAUGUUAAGUCAGCGGUAAAAGUUCGGGGCUAAACCCCGUCGUGCCGUUGAAACUGGCGUUCUUGAGUGAGCGAGAGGUAUGCGGAAUGCGUGGUGUAGCGGUGAAAUGCAUAGAUAUCACGCAGAACUCCGAUUGCGAAGGCAGCAUACCGGCGCUGAACUGACGCUCAUGCACGAAAGCGUGGGUAUCGAACAGGAUUAGAUACCCUGGUAGUC
rnacentral:rRNA from 1 species